CUGAGCCCCCCUAUAUAUAUAUACACCCCGGGGUGAUUUCUCCUCAGUGUUAUCCUACUCCUGGACUCUUUCUACUCGUAGGCUGUGAAGAAAGACAACCGCCAUCAUGUCUGACAAGAAGAUGAAUUCGAGCCGCAGGCACCAUCUGAAGGUACGGUUCAGAUGGAUUGAUCACCAAGCUGCUGAUUGGUUCAUAUGAUG